UCCGUUGGUGAACCAGCGGAGGGAUCAUUACUGAGUUUACGCUCUACAACCCUUUGUGAACAUACCUAUAACUGUUGCUUCGGCGGGUAGGGUCUCCGUGACCCUCCCGGCCUCCCGCCCCCGGGCGGGUCGGCGCCCGCCGGAGGAUAACCAAACUCUGAUUUAACGACGUUUCUUCUGAGUGGUACAAGCAAAUAAUCAAAACUUUUAACAACGGAUCUCUUGGUUCUGGCAUCGAUGAAGAACGCAGCGAAAUGCGAUAAGUAAUGUGAAUUGCAGAAUUCAGUGAAUCAUCGAAUCUUUGAACGCACAUUGCGCCCGCCAGCAUUCUGGCGGGCAUGCCUGUUCGAGCGUCAUUUCAACCCUCAAGCUCUGCUUGGUGUUGGGGCCCUACAGCUGAUGUAGGCCCUCAAAGGUAGUGGCGGACCCUCCCGGAGCCUCCUUUGCGUAGUAACUUUACGUCUCGCACUGGGAUCCGGAGGGACUCUUGCCGUAAAACCCCCAAUUUUCCAAAGGUUGACCUCGGAUCAGGUAGGAAUACCCGCUGAACUUA
rnacentral:rRNA from 5 species